UUUGUUUUGCCUUGGUAGAUUCUGUCAAGUUCAUAUAAUCUGGUCUACUAUUGCCACUUUGUUCUGUUUUAUCUGUACUGUUCAAGGUAGUGUUUCCAGAAACAGGUGUAGAAGACGUGCAUAUUGAAAAUGAAGCUGAACUUGAAUUGAACCGAAACUCGGAACUUGGACUUGAAGAGGAAUGAGUCACUUGCCCAAUAUUUGGAGGCUUUGCAGAAAUCCUUGUGCUGAUAUUGUUCUUUCUGACUUCCACAAAGCAUGGGGAAGAAGAUCUCGCAUUCUUUCCCUCUAAGCAAUGUUUUGAUGGUGAGGUUGUAUCUGAAGGAUCAGAUUCAGCCUGUGAUGGUUCCAUCAACCUUGUCUCCCAUCGCCGGGCCGCCAUCCAACGUUCCAGCCAACUCCAACCCCAACUGUUUUUGUCGAAUUCUUGAUAUUUGGUAUAUAAACCUGAGUUGUUUGUUUGGCUAGUUGAACCAGGCUUUGAUCUCCAUUGCUAUAAAAUUAAAAAACUUUGAAUUACUUUCGGUAUCUUUCAGUUUAUGAUGUAAACAAGCGCACGGAAUUUAGAACGUUUUGAUACCUUCUGAGCAAGAGAAUAAGCUAGAGCUCUUUCUCUCUUGAAGGCUCCUCCUUGCUUCAUUUGCAGCUUUGUUUUAGCAUCUUCUAGUGUUCCUUUGCUAUCACACCAGCCAUCCUGAGAAC
rnacentral:lncRNA from 1 species